UCAGCUUCAAGUCACCAACUUCUCCAUGCCUCACUUCUUGUCUUACUCUUCAAGCCAAACUCAAGCUCAAGCCACCAAGCCACUUUCCAUUAGCUCAGAUGUGCAUACAAAACAAAAAUGGACAAAAAUAGAAAUUAUGUUAGUGAGCAAAUCAUGUGGGACCACAUCACAAACAAGCUUCAGACGCACACAUAACAACUUGUACCAAAUUCACCUCAAAUUCACAGUUAAUUAUUCUCAAAUUGAUCCUCACCGUCUAUUUCUAUCAAUUUCAUUUGGAUCGGUGAGUUGUGCAUCAAUCUAACCAUUCAUUCCUUAUAUUUCUCAAAUUCACCGCAGAUCGAUUACAACUUAACCUAAUUCACUAUCCCUUUUCCUCCAUUUUUUAACCAACUCUCACACACUUUACAAUUUUCACACGUACCAGUUUCCCCUAUACAACCAUCUACACCGUUACAUUGUUUUUCAUCAAGAAUUUCCUACCCUCACACUGCAGAAAAUUACCUAAAAAUUACUAAAGCUCAAAACCUUAAGAACUACUCAGAGUUUCACACUGAAACUCUUAAGAUAGUUGAGUUAAGCCACUCAAUCACGAUAACAACAACAUUCAACAACCACGAAAACAGAAGUAGAAGAGGGAGAGUGCAUUAAGAAGAAAAGGCAACAGAGAAAGGAACCUAACAUGUGGAUCAUCCCCUCUGGUUUGUGUUACCUCGCGGGUUAAUUAGUCAUGGAGGACAGUACUUUUGCAACAAUUAUUUGGAGAAUGUACUAACCAAAUACACCGUUAAGCACAAGGUAUUCAUACCAUACCAUCCACAAACAAAUCGACCAACCGAGAUAUCAAACAAGUAAUUUAAGAAAAUACUAGAGUUAACAGUCAACUCAUCCAAGAAAGAUUGGACUAAGAAAUUGAAUGCUACACUAUGGGUGUGUUUGUUUGAAGGAUUAAAAUUAUAAUCUUAGGAAUAUCAUUCCUAGGAAUAUUAUUGCUUGGAACUUUAUUCCUAUCAAUGUGUUUGGCAAAUGAAUAAAGUUUUUAGGAAUAUUUUUAGAUUUUGUUUUAAUUAAAUUUUAAAAAUAAAAAAGUAAAUGUGUGAAAAUAAUAUGAGAGUGAGAAGUUAUGGUUGGUUAUUUUAUAUUCCCAUGGGAAUGUAAGAUUCCCAUCCUUUUACAUGGGAAUGAAAAUGAAGAAACAAAGGAAUAUGUGAAUUUUAAUGUCAAAUAUCACGCUGUUUUACGGACUUAAAGCGACACUGUUUUCCAAACAAAAUUUUAAAAAUGUGUCGCUAUCAAAGCGAACUGGAGUUUUUCGCCUUGUUUUAUCAUUUUCUUUUAUAGAAAAUUCCCCUUAUCUCAAUUUUUUACACAUUGAACCUAAAUUUAAUUAAUUAUUUUACUUUCAAAAAGUUGUUUCACCCUACCUCUAUUACAACUAUUGUGUAAAAAUAAAAAUACAACAAAAUGAUAUAUAGAACCUAAUUUUGAUGGGUUCUCUCUUAUUCAGUGUUCCUUUAACAACAUUAGCUUGAUGGUUAAGGACCCAUAUCAGCCCGUUUAUUCCAAUACUACUUAGUCUACAAGAUUUUUCCUCCCGUAGAUGGUUAUAUCCUAUGUCCAUUUACUUUAAAAAUUGUAUCAUUUUCAUAAUCGUGCGAUUCAACUGCUUCUUGUGGUAAAACUUUUACCAUAAACGAACUUGACCAUUUAUAUUUGAGUUUACCUAGAAAAAUUCUCAAACUCGAAUUAAAUAGUAAUACUUGUUUGCUUAUAAAAAUUUCUUUCUUAACUAGAUUUUUGUCAUGGUAUUUUUUGUUCUCGUCUUGUAUAUUACUGCAUUUUCGUAUUGCAUUUUCGUAUGCUUGUAACCUCAUUUCCACUAGUUUGUUUAACUUACGUAACUUAUUGUAAUCUGAGAUAGUUGGAUAAAAAUUUAAGAAUUUAAUGGCCCUAAAGUUCCAUAUUGGUUGGAGAUAGAGCAUUGAAAGAGUAUAUAUUGAUGGACACUCCUCAUCUUAUCAACUAGUUUUGUAAGGAUGAGUUAGGUCAAACUCUAAUAUGCUAUCAUAACCUAUCGCCCACCAUUAAUAUCCACGCAGCAAGCCCAAAAAGAGUGCUGGACAUGGGGGGUGUAUUAGGAAGAUCAUAAAGUCCCACAGUAUAUAUAGAUGAACACUCCUCACCUUACCAAUCGAUUUUGUAAGAAUAUUACUGUUUUAUAUCCAUUUUAAUUAUCUUAGGGCAUUACAUAUAGUUCUAAAUUGUUUGAUUUUUUAUCAUACUUUUUGUCAUCAAUUCUUCAUCUCUCUGUGUACCAAUGUCUGGAAGGUGUGUUAAGAAAGAAACUUAUAGUAGAACCAUCGUCGAUCUAUAGAGCUUUUAUUUGUUUCCACUGCAUUAAUGUUAUUCUCUAGAUCGAACGUGAUUUGAGUGUUGUUUUGCAUGUAUUUUCAUCUCUCCCCAUUGUUUUUCUUAUUGCUUGUUUCAAUUUUUAUUUAGGUUUUUAUUUCCUUAUCGUUUGUGUCAGUCCUAAGACUAGUUUAAAUUUUCAUUUUUACUUUUUUGUUUCUCAUAAUGUUAUCGUAUUUUACAUUAUGUCUCUAAUUUAAUAUUUUUCUUAAGUUGAUGAGUAGCUUUCACCACGUCAAAUAUGUAAUGAUUUCAAUUUUUCUAUUAAUAAAAAUAUUUGAAUUUUGCGAUUUUAUAA